rnacentral:tRNA from 1 species
GCCGGUGUAGCUCAGUUGGUAGAGCGGCGCAUUCGUAAUGCGAAGGUCGCAGGUUCGACUCCUGUCUCCGGCA